rnacentral:misc_RNA from 1 species
AACGCACAUUGCGCCCUUUGGCAUUCCGAGGGGCAUGCCCGUUCGAGCGUCAUUUCACCAAUCAAGCCUGGCUUGGUGUUGGGCCCCGGGGCGACCCGGGCCCCAAAGUUCGUCGGCCGGACGACCCGGAUCUCAGCGUUGUGGCAUCAAAAACCCGCGGAGAGAUGGGGCGGCCGCGCCGUGAAAGCUUCAUUCCACAAAAGGUUGACCUCGGAUCGGGCAGGGAUACCCGCUGAACUUAA